rnacentral:misc_RNA from 1 species
AAGUCGUAACAAGGUCUCCGUUGGUGAACCAGCGGAGGGAUCAUUAUAGAGUUUUCUAAACUCCCAACCCAUGUGAACUUACCAUUGUUGCCUCGGCAGAAGCUACCUGGUUACCCUACCUUGGAACGGCCUACCCUGUAGCGCCUUACCCUGGAACGGCCUACCCUGUAACGGCUGCCGGUGGACUCCAACUCUUCGUUAUUUCUUGUUAAUUCCGAGCCGUCUUAUUUUAAUAAGUCAAAA